CCAGGACACAAACCCAGGGUGAAUGCUGAGACUCUGUUCACUGGAUGCCUGCUCUACCAAAGGAGCUAAAGAGCAUUUCUUAAUCCUGCACACAAUAAAUCACAGAUUUUCUGAGGAAUGCAGGUGGUACGCGCAAAAAUGGGCGGUCUCUCUCGUUUCCCGCGCGAAGUUAGUGCAUUUCCCUCCAAAACUGUAGGUGCCUGUAUAAAUGCCUGAGGGACCUUUCAUUCUGGUCCCAACUGCUCUUCUUUGAGGACAUGAAUACGGUGAUGGACGGUUGACAGGAUGAAUCACCAAGACGAGCCAAACAAUGGCGAGGGGCCGCCACAGGAGCCUGAAGGCAAAGUAACGAGAGCAGCCAGGAGCUGAAAGUGUGGGCAGAGGAACAGGAUGUUGAGGACGACGGUUCCCUGAACUGAAUCCUGAUUUCCUGUAAUUGAGUUUUGUGGACU